rnacentral:rRNA from 1 species
UACGUAGGGGGCAAGCGUUGUCCGGAAUCAUUGGGCGUAAAGAGCGUGUAGGCGGCCAGAUAAGUCCGCUGUGAAAGUCCAGGGCUCAACCCUGGAAUGCCGGUGGAUACUGUCGGGCUCGAAUCCGGAAGAGGUGAGUGGAAUUCCUGGUGUAGCGGUGAAAUGCGCAGAUAUCAGGAGGAACACCAAUGGCGAAGGCAGCUCACUGGGACGGUAUUGACGCUGAGACGCGAAAGCGUGGGGAGCAAACAGG